GAAAGCUAAUGGUUUAUGCAUUGAUCUGGAAAAUCGGUAUACAGAAAAUGUAACAAGAAUAUGCUGGAAUCAUGCAAAUGUCAACCAGAGACAAGGUGUCUCAGAAUGGGUUACGGAGAGGAUGUGAUAGCGCUGCCUAAAAGGUCUCACACAAGAGACUCGUAAAGGUAAUCUGAGGUCCUGGACCCCCAGUCGCUUCAUCCAUUCUCGAAGAGCUUUUAAUAUUCCAGCAGGUUCAAACUCUCCUCAUGAAGUCAAUUAUGAGUCUCGAUCUUCUUCGAAGCCGCGGCCUUUUGGAUUUGCUCGCACUAGAUGAACGUUACAAAAAGGCUACCCUGCCUAUUUCCCGUGGAAUGAAAAAUAAAUGGAAAUCACAUGGCAAUACGCCAGACGAUACAAAUUCAAAACGUCUUACAAGUAAUCCCGACGCAGGUACUUUUGGAUCUCAGUAUCAAGAGUAGGAUCCAUCAGAAAGCCCACCUGGACGCAGAGUUAAAAUGUAAAGAGGGGUAUCACUGGAUUGCUGAAAGCCAUGGCUAGACAACCUGUGAAAGAACACCACCUACCUGUAAUGGAUAUAUCUGAGGGAGAAUUUGUGGGUCAAAAGGAAAAGCUGGUUUAUUUAUUGAUCUGGACAAUCGUGAUAAUUCUUUGUAUUACUAGAUCACUAAGAAAACUCCAAGCAGGUUGCAGCGUUGCAGUGAUUGUAAAAUUGUAAAAAUAAAUAAAUAUUGCUAAGUAAUUGUAAAAGCAAGGUUUAUGUUGGGAAACUAUUGAACCCUGAGUGGAAAUUGUUGACUGCCAAUGUACAAAACCGACUAGUUGUAUAUUGGCGUGCUGGGCAUUGUCAGUCCAUUUCCAGCUCUUUCAAUGAGCGAGGUUGGUAUUAAUGGA